rnacentral:tRNA from 1 species
GCAUUGGUGGUUCAGUGGUAGAAUUCUCACCUUCCAUGUGAGAGACCCAGAUUUGAUUCCCUGACAAUACA